rnacentral:rRNA from 1 species
UACGUAGGGUGCGAGCGUUGUCCGGAAUUAUUGGGCGUAAAGAGCUCGUAGGUCGGUUUGUCGCGUCUGCUGUGAAAACCUAAGGCUCAACCUUGGGCUUGCAGUGGGUACGGGCAGACUAGAGUGCGGUAGGGGUGACUGGAAUUCCUGGUGUAGCGGUGGAAUGCGCAGAUAUCAGGAGGAACACCGAUGGCGAAGGCAGGUCACUGGGCCGCAACUGACGCU